AUGACCAAACUGCACUGCUAUCAGAACAACACAGAUCAUGGCUCGAUGUACUGGUACCAACAGCCGGUAGCACAGCGGGGGCUGGAGCUCAUAGGAGUGCUAAUUAAAGGAACCCCAGAACCCUCUUUUGAGGAGCAUUUCAGGGACAACAGAUUCAGUAUGCACUGUGUAAAUACACCACAGUACUUUGGCGAGGGUACCAGGCUGACAGUGUUGGAGGAUUUGUCCAAAAUCACUGCCCCUGAAGUGGCCAUCUUUCCACCGUCGAAGCAGGAGAUUAAAGAGAAAAGGAAGGCCACCCUGGUGUGCCUGGCCACAGGUUUCUACCCUGACCACAUCAAGCUGGUUUGGCGGGUGAACGAUGUUGAGAGGAAAGAGGGGGUGAGGACGGACGAACCUCUCCUGGGUGAAAAGAAAGAAAAAUUCUCACUGACCAGCCGCUUGAGGAUCUCACACCAGGAAUGGUCCAAUUCCAAGAACAGAUUCCAGUGCUUUGUUGAGUUCUAUGGGAAUGAGACAAAAUCAUAUGAUAAAGUCAUCAGUGGUGUAGCUGAUUGCAGUGUCUCAGAAGAGUCGUAUCAGAGAAGUGCAAUGGCAGGCAUGAGUGUGUACGUUCUGCUCAUUUUCAAGAGCGCUUUGUAUGGGGUCUUUGUGAUGGGGCUAAUGCUAAGGAAGAAGCUAGUGCAGUAGAAGAAGCUGGCCCUAGGUGGAUGAUACAGCUACCUGGAGAAAGAAGGAGCUGCAGCUGCAUUAGUUUUACAAGUCCUGAUUUUUUUCAAAAACCAGCACAGCACUUAGGCUUUUGUUAUAAUAAAUUUACAAAGACAGCAAUUUGGGGUUGUCUGGCUGUAUUUGCUUGUUUGAAACAGCAGCUUUUAAUAAACACUUUUGAAAUCCUUAA